GGCGUGGUAUCCAUGUGGUAAGGCGUCGGUCUCGUAAACCGAAGUUCGUGGGUUCAAUCCCCAUUCACGCCU